rnacentral:rRNA from 1 species
AACGAACGCUGGCGGCAUGCCUAACACAUGCAAGUCGAACGAGACCUUCGGGUCUAGUGGCGCACGGGUGCGUAACGCGUGGGAAUCUGCCCUUCGGUUGGGAAUAACUGAGAGAAAUUUCAGCUAAUACCUUAUAAUGUCUUCGGACCAAAGAUUUAUCGCCGAGGGAUGAGCCCGCGUAGGAUUAGGUAGUUGGUGGGGUAAUGGCCUACCAAGCCGACGAUCCUUAGCUGGUCUGAGAGGAUGAUCAGCCACACUGGGACUGAGACACGGCCCAGACUCCUACGGGAGGCAGCAGUGGGGAAUAUUGGACAAUGGGCGAAAGCCUGAUCCAGCAAUGCCGCGUGAGUGAUGAAGGCCUUAGGGUUGUAAAGCUCUUUUACCCGGGAUGAUUAUGACAGUACCGGGAGAAUAAGCGCCGGCUAACUCCGUG